AUAUGGCUACACCACCACAAGAACCAUUCUUUCUUGUCAUUACAGACCAAGAGAAAGGUGUGGAGUUGGUUCCAUGGACAAAAGGCCAGAUGGGCAUUUUAGGGUUUGUUCUUGUUCUAGAUUUACAGCCAGUAGAGAAGAAGGAGAUUUAGAGGGUAGGAGAGGAAAAAAUGAAAAAGUACAAGUAGAAGACGAAGAAGAUGACAAUGGUAGCAUGGAAGAAGAAGAAGAAGAAGAACGGGAAGAUACUGCUGUUUUGCCCGAGAGAUGGGAUGUUCUAGGUCUUGGUCAAGCUAUGGUAGAUUUUUCUGGCAUGGUUGAUGAUGAAUUUUUGGAGAGAUUGGGAUUAGAGAAGGGAACAAGGAAAGUUGUGAACCAUGAAGAGAGGGGUAGAGUUUUGCGAGCUAUGGAUGGUUGCAGCUACAAGGCAGCUGCUGGUGGAUCUCUUUCAAACACCCUAGUGGCCUUGGCAAGGCUCGGUUGCAAGCCCAUUUCAGUUCCUUCCUUAAGUGUAGCCAUGGCAGGCAGUGUAGGGAGUGAUCCAUUAGGCGACUUCUACAGAGCAAAAUUAUGUCGGGCAAAUGUGAAUUUUCUCUCUUCACCUGUCAAAGAUGGGACAACAGGAACAGUGAUAGUUCUCACAACUCCAGAUGCCCAGCGAACUAUGCUUGCAUAUCAGG
rnacentral:misc_RNA from 1 species